rnacentral:pre_miRNA from 1 species
GUGUGUGUGUGUGUGUGUGUGUGUGUGUGUUUGUGCUCAAGCAUAUGUGCACACACACACAAAUGUGCCAUGGAAG